GCGCGGGUAGCGUAGUGGUUAAGCGUUCCUGAGCGUAUGUCUUCAGCGUUGAUUUCCUUCCAGCGUUCAGCGAAAGAUCCGGGUUCGAGUCUCGGCCCGCCCA